rnacentral:rRNA from 1 species
AUUGAACGCUGGCGGCGGGCUUAACACAUGCAAGUCGAGCGGAGUGAUGGUGCUUGCACUAUCACUUAGCGGCGGACGGGUGAGUAAUGCUUAGGAAUCUGCCUAUUAGUGGGGGACAACAUCUCGAAAGGGAUGCUAAUACCGCAUACGUCCUACGGGAGAAAGCAGGGGAUCACUUGUGACCUUGCGCUAAUAGAUGAGCCUAAGUCGGAUUAGCUAGUUGGUGGGGUAAAGGCCUACCAAGGCGACGAUCUGUAGCGGGUCUGAGAGGAGGAUCAGCCACACUGGGACUGGAAGAAGGCCCAGACUCCUACGGGAGGCAGCAGUGGGGAAUAUUGGAAAAUGGGGGGAACCCUGAUCCAGCCAUGCCGCGUGUGUGAAGAAGGCCUUAUGGUUGUAAAGCACUUUAAGCGAGGAGGAGGCUCUUUUGGUUAAUACCCAAGAUGAGUGGACGUUACUCGCAGAAUAAGCACCGGCUAACUCUGUGCCAGCCGCCGCCGUAA